UUAGUUUUAAAGGAAAACGCUACAUUUAAAUGAAAAAUUGAAUCCUUUUUCUUGUGCUUAGUAUCUCCCCUUUAUUCCUUACGUAAUAAAUUGGUGAUUUCUACCCCCCCCACGCACAGCAGUGAUAACAGUUUGACCGUACAGUUUCAGUUUGAAUUUCAAAAAAUGGUAUGCAAAAGGGGUUCCUUUUCAAAAAAAAAAGUUCAUUGCCACACGAUCGAACCAGCGCAACCAAUGAUCGAAGUGUGUGCGAAAGAACAAGCGAAGCUGCGGUCCAACCGCUUCGCCAAUUAUAGUUGUGUGGGUGUGUCGUGAUAACGAAGGAUCAUGAGCACAGGUGAAGCUGUGAUCAGUAGCGAUCGGACAGUGACAGAUUACGGUGAUUAAAAAAAGCGCUCGGUAUAAUUUAGCGUUAGUGUGGUUUAUUGGUGCCGAAAAAAGUGAUGCCCUUUGUUUGUGGAUCUUAAUCAACACAAAGAAUGAUUAAAAGAACAAUUCGUGUUGUUAAUGUGAUGUUAAAUAGUGAAACUUUCUUCUGCACGUGUGCUAAAUCUUUGCCAGCGUCGGCUUGGGUUUGUUUCAGCUCGCGUCAUAGUUAGCAAGUGUAAGUGAGCGAACAAUGCAACUGAGUAAAAGCAAAAUGGCGCAAAUAUCACAAACCACAUUGUCUUUCUAAGGCAAAUUGCGAAAUUAGCAUCGCUCAUAGAAAAAAACCCGAUUAAGAAAAGUGAAACGUACGCGUGUAUGUAGGUGUAUGAAGUUUGACAUUUUAUACAAAAGCCGCAUGUAAGCCGCAUCAUUGCAGAUUCCGAUCAAACGGUAUCGGGUUGAUCGUCGUUAAGAGAUAACGAGAUGGGUUACAUGCGCAGGUGUUCAAUUUGUGCGUUCUUACUCUGACGUUAAAGUUAAGAAUAAUAACGCAGGUGGAUGUACGCUAAUGCCGGUACGGUACGCGUGUGAGUGUAACGAAAUUAAUAAUCAGUGCGUGUACUAUGUGCCUCGUGUUGUCUUAAAAAAUGGCGGAAACGUGUGAUUUAUUUGUUUCCUCGUUCGGAUGGUUCUUAAUAUUUUAAAUUAAUAAAAAAAAUGUCUGUGAAAAACAAAUGUUGUGAAAAGUGUUGUGAAAAGUGCACGGAAAAAAGUGUUCGUUUUUUUGGUGAAAAAAAUCUUAUUCCUUAUUGUUAUUGUGUGUUAUUAUUGUUUAUUGUGUGAUAAAAGGUAAAGCCUACCAUUGUAGGCUAGUGUUUAAUGUUUAAAUUAAUAAAAAAAAUGUCUGUGAAAAAAAAUGUUGUGAAAAGUGUUGUGAAAAUUGUUGCGGAAAGUGUAAGAAAAAAAGUGUUGGUUUUUUUUUGUGAAAAAAGAAGUAUCAAUUUCUUAUUGCUCAAUGAGCUGAUUGCUUAUUGUGUGUGUUUGUGAUUCGUUUAUUGUGUGAUAAAUGUAAAGCCUACCAUUGUAGGCUAGUGUUUAAUGUUUAAAUUAAUAAAAAAAAUGUCUGUGAAAAAAAAUGUUGUGGAAAAUGUUGUGAAAAAUGUUUUGAUGAAGAAAAUAAAUAGCAAUGUCCAUUUCUCAAUGAUCGUUUAUUGUGUGUAUUUGUGAUCCGUUUAUUGUGUGAUAAAAUGUUAAGCUUACCAUUGUAUGCUAGUGUUUAAUGUUUAAAUGUGUGUUUUAAAUGUGCCGAAGCGCAUUCAAGUGUGUAUUUGAAAGAAAAAUUAAAGUGUGUAAAAGCAAAAUGGCCGCAAAGAAGCAGUUUUGUCCUCGGAAGUGAAGUUUAUUCCGGUUUUUCGCAAAAAAAAGAAACCCAUCAUUAAAUGCUGAUUCAGAAAUGGCCAGAGUUACUUAAGGUAAGUUACGUUUUUUUUCUUCUUUCUAUUGUGCAAUUAUAUCCUAGAACAAGAAAGUCCCUUUUGAUGUGUGACUGCAACAUAUUCUCAAACAUCACUCUAGAAAACUGCCAAGUUAACAUGCAUCUCUUUGUCCCAUUUUUUGAUCGAUGGCUUGAUGAAAGCAAUUUAAACACACAAACACACACACACGGGGACACAAUUCCAACGUCCGAAAAAAAUACCGAAACUGUUUCCCGCAGCAGUUUGUCAUGCCGGAAUGCAGUGGUGAAGGACACUCGUCACUCGGUUUACGCAUUCACGUGCCUGUUGACUGCCGAUGGACCGAGUACUGCAGCAGCUGAGUUUUGCUGCGCUUCGCUGCCUGAACGACCAAUGAUUAUGGUAAUGAAACGGAUGACUUGCAGCAACGAUCGCAUCGUCCCGUACCCGUAUAAACAUUCCUAGCGUACAAACGCUACCCAAAAAGGGAAGUGACAAAUACCAACCUCCCCUCCCCCCUGCCCCCUCCUUCAUCCGAUAUGCUGUGACCAUUUUUCCCCUUUCUUUUUCUC